GGCACUUUGGCGGAGUGGUUAACGCGAUGCCCUGCUAUUAAUCAAGAUAGUUAAGGCAUUCCCUUCGGGGGCGUGUGUUCGAAUCACACAGGUGUCG
rnacentral:tRNA from 1 species